GACAAAUCCAACAGAAACACUCUCCUUUAGGUGGAAGAGCAAACAGAAAUGCAGCAUUAUGGAGAGCCUGAAAGCCACAGUUCCCUUGCAGAAGGUGCUUCUGCUGCUUCCUUCUAGAGCUUGUCUAGUAAUUGCCUACAAAGUGUGAACAUGUCUGCACUGAACACCUGGAAUGGAAAGACAUCAUUGGAAAGACCUUUAUUAACUGGUUCCUAAGUGUACUUAGCUUCAAUGUCAAUUUUACACACUCUCCCUGGAGCUACAUGAAAAAUGAAGUCUUGAUCAUUGCCCAGCUUUAUGGAAAUCCAAUGCGAGCAACUAUGAGCCAAACCCUGAGAAGGUCACGUUUAUAAGUAAGAGCAAAUAAGGGAGCUUGGUGCGAGUGACUACCCUGUGAGCAGCAAAGACAAAACAAGAUGCAGACAGACUCCACUGCUUGCUGUCUCCACGUUGCUUGCUGAACAGAUGCCAACUAUCACCUGCACUCCAGCACGGCCUCCCCAUGCCAUUGCCCAGCAAGCAAUGCUCCAGGUGACAGCGGUUCUGUGACAGAAGGAGGAGUCAGGCAUGUCAAGGAGCAGGGACAAUCCACUAUUCAGUUUCACAGGCUUGAAAUACACUGAUUCUUCUGUGUCCUGAUUAACUUCAGAAAAGCCUUCUAGCCUUGCAUUUGGACUAAAACAGAUGUUUCUUCUGUUCUCAUCUGGUAGCUUUUCUGAUACUAACUGGGAAAGUGAUAAAAAUUAUUAUAUCCACAGAUUCUCAAGGUCUAAGCUUCACUUAUAAAUCCAUCCAAUAGCUGUCUGUUCUUGUGACCCUUGCAGGAACUUUGAAGGAACAAUAUAUUUGAGAGUUGUCAAAGUUGUUUCAAAUCAGUCAGCAAGUUCUGUGCCUGCUGAAGAGGAAAAUAUAUGCAGGGUGCAGUCCCAACAGAAAUGGGAAAGCUUGUCAGCCCUGUAGCUGCAAAUACACACCAGCCGAUACCAGCCAGAGCUAAGGAAAUGAGAAGGGCUCAAGCUACUUUACCCACUACAACAUAUCCCCCUUAAAACAGCAGGUUGAAUCGCAGGCUAGUAGAAACUAGUUUAUUGCUUUUAAAUGCUUCAAUUGCUGCUGUGAUUCAUCAAUAGAAGAGCGGGCUACAGCAUGCAGGGAGGUUUGUUUGGCCAGCUGUGAGCCUGAGCAAGUCCAGACUCAUGUAACCAGUCAUCACUUUCUCACUGUUAAUAUACCCAUGCAGAGCUCUCUGUUGUUGUUCUUGGGAAGAGUGGAUGAGGAUGGAGAGAACAUGUGGAUGAAAUAUAGUUCCAGGACAGCAAGCGUCAUUUGAUCAGCAUGCGAAGAGGCAUGGGAGAGGAACAUUUGCUAUAUGCUAUCUUAUACAGAGAUCACUGUAUCCUGAUUGUUUGGAUAUUACAGACAUAUUUAAGAGGUUGCAAAGUGAUAAUUAACUUUCAUGUCCAACACUCCAGGGCUAAAAUCUUGUUUCUGAGCUUAUUCAUUAAUGAUGGUCAAUAAGCAACCAUUAAAAAGGCACAUUUAUUCUUUUUAUCCAGUUUUUCUGUCUUUAUGUAUUUCAGAAACUUUUACAAAUAUAAAUCACAUUUUUGUAGGCAAAGUAAUAAAUCAUAUUAAUUUUACUUUUACAAAAUCAUGUUUGUUAUCUGUUUCUGUGGUGUAAAUAUAACCCAUCCUAGAAUGUAGUAGAAAUGCAUUUUAAACAGUUACACAGCUGAUGUAAGGGUCUCUGAUUCUGUUUUCCAUUAUUGGAAAGCUGCUACUGUACAAGCUAUCGCUUCAGUGAUAACCAUUUGGUGGGUAAUUGCACAACUUGUAUUAGCUCAGUGCCACAUGUCAGCUAAGGCAUGAAGCAUUUGCUCAGGAGUAGCUGUAUGUCUGAUUGCAAUGUGCGAUUAGACUUCUACUGAGGAAAUUUCUGCAGGCCCUAUUAGUAUUUCCAAAGUCCUUUCUACACAGCUAAGGCAUGGAAAAAGAGCCUUUAACCGAGUAUAAUUUUCUCAUAUCCUCUCAUCCAGGUCCCUUCACACUUUCUGAGCUAUGUAAUGAUAAUCUAGAUAUCUGAAUGUUGGUCAGGAACAUCUGCAUGUUUUCAUCAUCCAGAUUAUAUAUCACUGCAAGUGCACACAUGAAGCACAGAUAAUCUCUGCAUGCACAGUAGUUGCAUAUAUGCUGGCAUGCUGGAUUUACUGCUUAGGUCUGACUCAUAGUAGAGCAAGUACACAGAGUAAGUGCGCAAACACAGCAGAUGGAUGUGACCCUGUGCAGAUGCUCUGUGAUGCUUGCAUUUCUGUCUGGGAAAUCCCUGACCUCAGUGCAGAUCCUCAGUGCGCAGCAACAGAUGAGGAUUGGGACCAAGGACAAAGCCGGGACAAAGCCGGGUGAGUGCAUGUGGCAGUUCUACAGUGAUUAACUCAAUGUAAAUUAACUCAAUUUAACAUUUAAAUCUCUUUUCACUGCCGGGGUAUUACUUUUGGAACAAUGCAUCCACGUUUUUGCAGCCACCCCACAGCUCCCCAUGAUGCUGAAUUACCGGCAUGUUUGACAGCCAUGACACCUUCUCUGACAUCUAAACGAAUAGCCAUUUUCUUCACUUCCUGACCAGCAGCUUGACAAGCAGUGUAGCCAGAAGAUGAAAAAGCAGUGUUUUUUAUGAGGAAAGGACAGACAACUAUAAUAAAACCUGCCCCUUUUUUCAGAUCAUGAGUCUCUCCGGUAGACUCAGCUAAUAUUGUUGCAACACUGAAAAGCUGGAGCUUGCUAAAAGUGAAGAACAGUGCUGGCUGUGGGCAAUGUGGGAAGUUCUGGGGCUGGCAGGUGGGGUGCCCAAGCUGUUACACCUGGUGGUGAGGCACAGCUGUGGGAUGGAGAUGGAGAAGUGGCAGGGGGAAGCAAAGAGAGACCCCUAUGGAAAUAUCAGCCCGAAGCCAUGACCCCGGGUCAGGGUCUGUUUUGGGAGAGUGUGGCAUGUGGCAUGGUAGGGCUAAUGCCACUGCCACCAGCAGAAAACACUCUUUGUUGGGCCCUGAUGGUUUAUCCUAGGUGGCUGCAGCCCCACUUUAGUCUCCAGGAUUUAAUCACUUGAUAGCUUGUUGUUUUAUCCCUGUCUUUGGUCACUGAUUUUAGCUAGCAUUCAACCAUUUCAGCUAUUGAAACCAAGCAUUUGCAUUGAAACCAAACAUUUGUUUAGCAACAGCUAAAGGCCUGUCAGCAUUCCUGCCUUGCUGCAGGGCUGUGGAGGGUCAUCAGGCACUGCCGGUGGGCAGCAUCAUGCACCCAGGACACUGAAGUGAAACCCAGCAUGUGUCUGGCUUUUUCAGGCCCCCUCCUGGAGGCUGGUCAGGGGACAGGGCAGUUGUGGGGACAGGAGGCACUAUGGGGACAGGUGGUGUGCAGGGGCAGUGGUAAGGGAGAGCAGAGGUGUCUAGAGAUGGCUCCUUGCAGUCAUUUUGGGAACUGGGUGUCACCUCCACAGCCUGGCCAAUCUCAUCAGGUAAAUUCACUACUGCUGGGAUCUGGGGGGAGACAGUGGCAAGUGACAGUUGAGGGGCUGAGCUCCUGCACCCCAGCUGCUCUGUCUGGGCCAUGGCAGACCUGGCCCUGGCUUCUCUGCUGGCACGUUGUGGACACGGCAUGUCCAAAGGACUACCUUGUGUGCAGAGGCACGUGGUCCCAUCUACAAAGAUGGAGCACAGCCCUAAUCUUCUUUCUUAUCAGGUCAGCUGAACCAGACCAGCAAAAUUAUUUAUGGAACAGGCAGCUGUAUCUUACGAAUGUCUUUAAGCAGAGUUCCUUCUUCAACAAGGACAUUUACAUUCAAAUUUGGUCUCCACAACAAAAGCGGACAUAUUUAUAUUAGUAAUGAGCACUCCCAGAUUCUGGUGAACUCAUCAAAACUUGACCAAAGGCACCAUUGCUGGGGAGAGGCAGCUA